GAAUAACUCUAAUUCUUGGUACUUCAAUCUAGCCCGAUCCUAGUAAACCACAGAUUGUAGUCUCACCAACCCGUUCAACAUUUAUCUUCAAUGCUUGCAUACACAGUAAAAUAGAUAUAGCACUUAUUUCAAAGAGUGCCACAGUUGGAAAGCAAGAAGGUCCAUAACAGUGCCUAUACCAACAGAAACGGAGAUCUUGCUACUGUACGGAAUCAUACAAAUCCAAUCCAGGAAGUGGAAUUGUUCUUCAGAAGCUAACCCGGCUAAAUUGGAGCAGCAAGCGAAAUGGAUUCUGGAGUACCAGGUGUGAAGGAAAAAACAACUUAGUUGUUAUAUCUACACACAAAAUGAAAUGAUUGAUCUUUUCCCGCGAGGAAGGAAUCUAAUUUAAGAGCAAAUGCGGCAAAAAGGAGAAAUCCCUACUUGUUCAAAAUACAC